rnacentral:rRNA from 1 species
CCCCUAGAUGUUCUGGGCCGCACGCGCGCUACACUGAACAGUUCAACAAGUCUUAACCUUGGCCGAUAGGUCUGGGUAAUCUUUGAACGCUGUUCGUGAUUGGGAUAGACCUUUGCAAUUAUGGGUCUUCAACGAGGAAUUCCUAGUAAACGCAAGUCAUUAGCUUGCAUUGAUUACGUCCCUGCCCUUUGUACACACCGCCCGUCGCACCUACCGAUUGAAUGGUCCGGUGAAAUCUCGGGACGGCGGCUUGGUCGCUUGCGUCCGACUGCUGAAACUUGAUUAAACCAUAUCAUUUAGAGGAAGGUGAAGUCGUANCA